rnacentral:rRNA from 1 species
CGCUGGCGGCGUGCCUAAUACAUGCAAGUCGAACGAGUUCUGAUUAUUGAAAGGUGCUUGCAUCUUGAUUUAAUUUUGAACGAGUGGCGGACGGGUGAGUAACACGUGGGUAACCUGCCCUUAAGUGGGGGAUAACAUUUGGAAACAGAUGCUAAUACCGCAUAAAUCCAAGAACCGCAUGGUUCUUGGCUGAAAGAUGGCGUAAGCUAUCGCUUUUGGAUGGACCCGCGGCGUAUUAGCUAGUUGGUGAGGUAACGGCUCACCAAGGCAAUGAUACGUAGCCGAACUGAGAGGUUGAUCGGCCACAUUGGGACUGAGACACGGCCCAAACUCCUACGGGAGGCAGCAGUAGGGAAUCUUCCACAAUGGACGCAAGUCUGAUGGAGCAACGCCGCGUGAGUGAAGAAGGCUUUCGGGUCGUAAAACUCUGUUGUUGGAGAAGAAUGGUCGGCAGAGUAACUGUUGUCGGCGUGACGGUAUCCAACCAGAAAGCCACGGCUAACUACGUGCCAGCAGCCGCGGUAAUACGUAGGUGGCAAGCGUUAUCCGGAUUUAUUGGGCGUAAAGCGAGCGCAGGCGGUUUUUUAAGUCUGAUGUGAAAGCCCUCGGCUUAACCGAGGAAGUGCAUCGGAAACUGGGAAACUUGAGUGCAGAAGAGGACAGUGGAACUCCAUGUGUAGCGGUGAAAUGCGUAGAUAUAUGGAAGAACACCAGUGGCGAAGGCGGCUGUCUGGUCUGUAACUGACGCUGAGGCUCGAAAGCAUGGGUAGCGAACAGGAUUAGAUACCCUGGUAGUCCAUGCCGUAAACGAUGAAUGCUAGGUGUUGGAGGGUUUCCGCCCUUCAGUGCCGCAGCUAACGCAUUAAGCAUUCCGCCUGGGGAGUACGACCGCAAGGUUGAAACUCAAAGGAAUUGACGGGGGCCCGCACAAGCGGUGGAGCAUGUGGUUUAAUUCGAAGCAACGCGAAGAACCUUACCAGGUCUUGACAUCUUUUGAUCACCUGAGAGAUCAGGUUUCCCCUUCGGGGGCAAAAUGACAGGUGGUGCAUGGUUGUCGUCAGCUCGUGUCGUGAGAUGUUGGGUUAAGUCCCGCAACGAGCGCAACCCUUAUGACUAGUUGCCAGCAUUUAGUUGGGCACUCUAGUAAGACUGCCGGUGACAAACCGGAGGAAGGUGGAGAUGACGUCAAAUCAUCAUGCCCCUUAUGACCUGGGCUACACACGUGCUACAAUGGAUGGUACAACGAGUUGCGAGACCGCGAGGUCAAGCUAAUCUCUUAAAGCCAUUCUCAGUUCGGACUGUAGGCUGCAACUCGCCUACACGAAGUCGGAAUCGCUAGUAAUCGCGGAUCAGCACGCCGCGGUGAAUACGUUCCCGGGCCUUGUACACACCGCCCGUCACACCAUGAGAGUUUGUAACACCCGAAGCCGGUGGCGUAACCCUUUAAGGGAGCGAGCCGUCUAAGGUGGGACAAAU